rnacentral:pre_miRNA from 1 species
CCAAAACCUGGGCUUCUCUUCCUGGUUCUUCCUGGAGUCAGGAAAAGCUGGAUUGAGAGGAUGAAAUAUAAUAAUG